rnacentral:rRNA from 1 species
UAAGGGCGCACGGUGGAUGCCUUGGCACUAGAAGCCGAUGAAGGACGUUACUAACGACGAUAUGCUUUGGGGAGCUGUAAGUAAGCUUUGAUCCAGAGAUUUCCGAAUGGGGAAACCCAGCAUGAGUUAUGUCAUGUUAUCGAUAUGUGAAUACAUAGCAUAUCAGAAGGCACACCCGGAGAACUGAAACAUCUUAGUACCCGGAGGAAGAGAAAGAAAAUUCGAUUCCCUUAGUAGCGGCGAGCGAAACGGGAAGAGCCCAAACCAACAAGCUUGCUUGUUGGGGUUGUAGGACACUCUAUACGGAGUUACAAA